AUUGAACGCUGGCGGCAGGCCUAACACAUGCAAGUCGAACGGUAACAGGAAGAAGCUUGCUUCUUUGCUGACGAGUGGCGGACGGGUGAGUAAUGUCUGGGAAACUGCCUGAUGGAGGGGGAUAACUACUGGAAACGGUAGCUAAUACCGCAUAACGUCGCAAGACCAAAGAGGGGGACCUUCGGGCCUCUUGCCAUCGGAUUUGCCCAGAUGGGAUUAGCUAGUAGGUGGGGUAACGGCUCACCUAGGCGACGAUCCCUAGCUGGUCUGAGAGGAUGACCAGCCACACUGGAAGUGAGACACGGUACAGACUCCUACGGGAGGCAGCAGUGGGGAAUAUUGCACAAUGGGCGCAAGCCUGAUGGAGCAAUGCCGCGUGUAUGAAGAAGGCCUUCGGGUUGUAAAGUACUUUCAGCGGGGAGGAAGGGAGUAAAGUUAAUACCUUUGCUCAUUGACGUUACCCGCAGAAGAAGCACCGGCUAACUCCGUG
rnacentral:rRNA from 1 species